rnacentral:rRNA from 1 species
UACAGAGGGUGCAAACGUUGCUCGGAAUUAUUGGGCGUAAAGAGCUCGUAGGCGGUCUGUCGCGUCUGCUGUGAAAACUCAGGGCUUAACCCUGAGCUUGCAGUGGGUACGGGCAGACUAGAGUGCGGUAGGGGAGACUGGAAUUCCUGGUGUAGCGGUGAAAUGCGCAGAUAUCAGGAGGAACACCGGUGGCGAAGGCGGGUCUCUGGGCCGUAACUGACGCUGAGGAGCGAAAGCAUGGGGAGCGAACAGG